rnacentral:lncRNA from 1 species
AGACAUUCAGCAUGACGUCUCAGAAGCCGGUUCUCCCCACCAGACCUCAGUUCUCAUAUUAUCUUGUGCCUCUUGUCUUUGCGAGAUGGCUCCCUCGCUCCUGUAAUAUUAAACAGCAUUUAGGCCAUAAUGGUGGGGCCUGCUAAGAUCCUUUCUCAGUGUUGCCAGGAACUCGGAGUGUACUCCUCAGGCUUCAGGCUGCUGGUAGCAAAGGGGGCUGCCUCUGUGUUCCCUUCGCAACAUCCCCUGUCAUUUGCUCCAAGGUUCUGGCAGACGGCUGGACUCUGUCACCAGCUGUCACCAGCCGUUCUUCCCAGCCACCCUUGGCAGGAUGCGAGGUCUCAGACAGCCAGUAGAAAUAAUAGUAGCUGUGGUAACAACUUCAGUGGCAUGGUCCCCAGAGACAAGAUCAAAUUUGGCACCUUUCCUCUCAACAGGAAUCUAAAAAUGGCACUGAAUUUGCUACUUGGUGGUAUAUAAUUUUAUUUAAUUACACAUUUUUUGGUUUCAAGUGUUCUACAUGCUCGUUGCUAAGUGUCAAAUGAACUUACACUGGUAAAACACUGGCAUUUCCCGCUCUUAUGAGGAGGUAGGUGGUAGCAGUAAAGCCGUGGGUUUCUUAAUCUCCAUCCACCUUGAAAACAUGGAGAGGAUGCAUGCUGUGAUUUUCCCCACUGGAAUAGUCCUCAGAUCUGAAAGAAAACCCCUUCGUAAAAUUUUACUGAUGCAUCUUUACCAACACACUGUCUCAAAAUUAUUUUCAAUUCAUGAGGGCCCCCCUCCCCUUUAACUUGUACUAGAAAAACCCACCAAGGGCAAAAACCUAAGAGAUUAUAGAGAGAAUGUUGGUCAACUAUGUAAGAAAUACUUUAAUUUUUUUUUCAAAAUCAUAAAAAUUGGUUACAGUCCAAGGAUACGAUA